GCUCCCGUCAUCUAGCCCGGUCAAAUAAAACCGAUAGGAUAACGGACUUUCGCUCCGUAUACACGGGUUCAAAUCCCGUCGGGAGCA
rnacentral:tRNA from 1 species